CGGCCCGGCCCGGCCCGGCCCCGACCCCUGCCCGCAGCGGGGCCACGGUCCCAAGCCCAUGUGUCCCACUUGUCUGGAAGAACAUUUGGAGUCUGGCAGCCUGGUCCUUUUCAUAGCUCCAGAGGAUUUUUAGGAGCAUAGGGAGCAUGGGAUGCAUGGACCUGAGGACCCACAAAACCUUCUGGAGAAUGUUCGCUGUGGAUAAAAGCAUCUGGAAGUUUCUACCAUCUUUUUACCCUGAUUUUUCCUGGGUCACCCUGUGUCAUUUGUGGCCCUGAGGAUUAUAGCACACAGUCACUUACUGGAAUACCUCCCCAUGCAUCUUCUUGAAAUGGAGCCACUGCUUUACCCAGCUGGCAGAUAUUUUCUCCUCUCCCAGAGCUUUUCCAGUGCAGCAGCAGCAGUCCUGUCCAGCAGGUCUCGAUUGACUGCAGAAAGGAGAAGGGAGGAGCAUGUCAAAGGGAGGUCAGAUCCUGCCAGGGUUUCCUGGCAAAUGAGGUCUAUCCACUGUUUGGAAGAUGAAACCUGAUGAGCUGCAAUUUGGGUUGGAUUACAGUAUUUCAGAAGACUUUCUGAACUUGCCAGGCAACCCUUCCCCUAGACUUUGGGGACAGAGGAAAUUAAAUUUAUAUUUCCAGUGUCACACAAGGAGAUAGAAUGGAGUUGGCUGCUUUACACAAGUAAUGAAAACCAAUGCUUUGCUGCUCUUGGAAGGAGUGCUCAAAAGGAGAAAAGUGUGGCAUACACAUCUUGGUUUAGAGACAGAUUUUAUCUGGGAAGAGUGUGCCCAGGGGAAGAUACAAGAGGAAGGAGAAGAGGUGAUGCUACAAGCCAGCUUCCUGACCUCCAGAGUGGGACUGAAGCUUUUUAACAAGAUUUAUCUGGAAAGUAUGACUGACAGGAGCAGCUUACUCACCAUUAGAUAAGUAUUGCAGAUGACUCAUGCUGGAGUAUUGAUAGCUGCUGCUGAGAUGGAUAUCCUGUUUUAUAACAGCUGUAGUGUGAUGCCAAGAGCCAGAAACCUUAAUUUCACUGUCCAUGCUUUUCCAUGAAUGUGCUUUGGGUCUCUGGCACCUUUUCUCCUUGGUUUAUCCAUCUAAAGGGUUGGCAGGGAGGGGAGGUUUUGCUUUCUUCAGUGGGGUACAGGGUACGGGGCAGCUCAUGUCACCUUGAAAUGAAAGCUAGGAUUGAAAGGCUGCAGCUUUUAUAGCUGUUCUCCAGGACAUGCAAUAUUUGUCUUUUUAAUAGAUGCUAUUAGUGUCUUUCCUCGAUUCUUUGGUGGUUUUUUUUUUGUUUGUGUUUUUUCAGAGCCAUUACACCUCUUCUUCAACAGAACAAACCAGAAGGUGUAGAAACAGAUUUUCUAAGUAUGGAAGCUCUCCUGAGGAGCUGCAUUAUGUGCUGCAGCCCCUGGGAUGGGAUGCAAUGCAAGGAGUGAAGAAGAGCUGCAAUGUACCACUGUUUUUGUGAGGAGAGGGGCUUUCUGGCAUGUCAUAUGGUGCCAAAAGACAUUUUACUCUUGGCAGCAAAAAUCCUUAUCCUUCUUGGUUUUUUUUUUUCCGGGACAGAUGCUAUUUCCUGUUAGAGAUGCUUUGUAUGCAAAUCAAGGUGGUACAACAAGAAAAAAGUCCUGAAAGCAAUCACACCGAUAAACUCAGCCCACUGGGGAAUUCCUGCUUAUCAUUUAUCUUUUGUUUUUUCAGUUCUGUACAAGAUACUUCUUUGCCUGUGCUUUCUUACAGUCUUUAAUGUUUGUCCUGCCCUACCUCUUGCUUGUGAGCUACAGUGCUUGCAUUUUGCAAGGCUCCAUGUCAGUCUGCACAAACAAAAGGCAGUAAGUGCUGGAAAUUGGGGUUAACAGUCCCUGUGUUUCAGCUUGAUCUUGCAUUGAUCUGGUGCUUUCUUAAGUUCAAACCAGAUGUGAGCCUCACACUACAGAUUGCCACAUGGCUAUAGUGAUGAUCUACUGGAAAGGUGAUCCCAGAAACCUCAGGAAUGAAAAAAAAAGAGAUAAAAAGCAAAAAGAAGCCAGCAAAAAGUUUACCUAGUAACUUAAACAGGAGUAGGAUUUGACUUGAGGCACCUCAAGAGAUGGUGUGGGCAGCACUGCACUAAUACAGUAACAUGAGUAUGCAGUAAUAUGAGUUGAUCACCUCAGUGCUCCAGCAGAGCAAACUCACAUAGAAUCACAGACUGGUUUGGGUGGGAAGGGACUGUAAAGAUCAUCUAGUUGAACUCCCUUGCCAUGGGCAGGGAGGCCUUCUGUCAGGUUUUUCGGGGCCCCUUCCAACCUGGCCUUCAACACUUCCAGGGGUUGGGCAUCCACAACUUCCCUGGGCAUCUGCUCAGCCUGUGCCCUACAGGUGUCCCUAUAAGUGGAUGGGGCUGAUCAAAACCUGCAAAACCAGGCUGCCACCCUGCUGAUGUUACAGCAGGCUGUGAGGGUGAAAAAAAGACUCAGAAGCAGAAAAGGAUGUGUCAGAGAGCUGCAGAACAGCAUUGCCAAAGAACGUUCUCAUGCGUGUCCAGAGAUAGCCACUGCAGCCCAGGUCCUGUUGAAUCAUGCUGUGGUUGUUCUGGCCUUUGUGUGGGUAACAGUGAUAAUCACUGUGUGUGGUGUUGGGUUUUGUUAUUUCUUUUUUUCCCCCUUAAAUGUAAAAUUAACAGUCAAAUUAGCAUUGGUGAGGCAGCAAGCCUGGUGCAAUUUUUAUCUAUCCUGAACCUCAGAACAAAGGAGGGGAGGAAAAUGGCUUGGCCGGUUUGGCAGUCGUGCACGUAACGGUCCCGGAGUUCAAAGCAAAGGGCACAACAGUCAGAUACCCCAACCCGCCUGGGCUUGGGCUGAUAACUCACAUUUCAAAGUAAAAGGCAAUCCUACAGGGGCUCUGCUGAGUGCCUAAAGCUCCAGUGCCGAGUCGUCUUUAAAAGGGGAUUUCAUAAGGAGUAAUAUGAACAGAAAUGGCUCUUUUGUGGUUUUACACAUUCCAGGCAUGCCAGGACUGUUCCUGUCAAGGAUGGGCAGUCUCUGGGGUUUUGGGUUCUUUUUAUUUUUUUUUUUUACCCCAAAUAUUUGCCACAAACUAGCAGCUGAAAUGGUGAAAAAUAAAUUAGAGUUGCAAAAUCAUUACAGUAGCAGUAAUGGAAACUGUGAGGCUUAUACUUAAAUUGGCUGUGGGGUUUCACUCCAUCUUCUGCACUGUUGCACUGUGAGGAUUACUACUUUUACCUGCUAUGACCACUUCAGGGUGGAUGAUUUGAAAGCGGAGCUUUAACUGUUGGUUACCCAGGACCUCAAAAAACAAUGCUUUUGGAUUUUUCAGAAACAAUACCUUUUCAGCUGAACCACUGUUAAGUCUGAAUUCUUUCAGUAUCAGUGCAGUUAUGUGGCCACACAGCAUCUUUAUGUGAUGAUUUCUGCAGGUCUGUGUAGACAGAAAUGGGGCCCAGCUGUUCCUGCUUCAGGGGCACUUUUGUUUCACAGAGGUUAUGCAGGCUUGGAUUGCACCUGUACACAUUAACACAGAAUUUUAAUUGAUGUAAGAGUUUCAAUGCACAAAGUUGUGGUGCCUGAAAUCUUAAAGGAGAGCACCUUUGCUCUGCCUUAAAACAGUCUGAAGUUUCAUGUGCAAUAAAACACUAGAUGGUUUGUGUAGACCUGCCCUGCUAGAUGAGGGUCUAAUUCAUAAGCCUGCAUGUCCUCUUCUUCUCCACAUGGAUACUGCUCCUCUUGACAUGUCCUGUGUCUGGUGUAGUAGCAGGACCUCAUGGACAGCUGGGAAAGCCACAGCCAUAGAUGUUACUGCUGUCUCCUCACAAAAGGUAUGUUUAUAACAAUGUUCUGUAAGGUGUGGGCCUCAGCCCCCCUGAGACGCCCUACACAAACUCUCAGUACCUUUAUAAGCAGCACACACUGACCACAGCCAGCUCAGCACCCUCAUGAGCUGGAGCUGCACCUUUACCUGCUCUGCAGGUGACACUAAUCCUUCUGGGGGGGAGCAGGAAAUGGAGCCGGGCUCAUCCCAGCAGAGUCUGGACCAUGGGACCACAGAUAUCCAUCCUGAGAAUUUGUUUUCAGCCCAAGUUUGACUGGGGCACAAAUGCAGGCAGAAGGUGAAAAAGCAUCUCUUUGAAAGUGGCAAUAAAAGAGACACUGUUGGAAUGAACUUUCUGGCCUGGUUUUAUUAAAUGUGAAUAUGAUUACUUAGAGGUGAACAGGAACUGGAGUGGAUUUAGGGGAUGGUUUCUGAAGCCCCCCUCCCAUUCUCCAACAUGGGCUGAUGUUACAGGGAAGUCUCAAGGCUGUUGCCUGGGCUGUUUUGGGUCUGUGGGUGGAGGAACAUAAUCACCAGGGUUGCCAUCAAAUGCUUCACUUACAAGAUACAAAGAAGGAGUGCUUGUGUUAAUUCUGUGCUCAACAUACAUAUUUUUCAUCUUGGACAAGUCUGGUCUUCCAGCCUUCUGGACUACUGCCAUUUUGGGUUUGGGAAAAAAGUUUUUUUCUUUCUCCAUCAGUGCUACCAACCACAGAAUUUUGGAAACAAAAAGUCAGAAUGGGGUGUUCAGUGGUGAGCUGUCUUUUUACUAGGCUGAUCUUUCAGGAGUUGGUUUUGAAGUGGAUUUCAUUCUGUCCACUCAAAGUUUCUGCUGUGGAAAUAUUUAUUGCUGUGAAACUGUAGCAAGCUUUAUAAGUGGCAGGAAAAACUACUUUUGUAACCAAUCAAGUGUGCUUUCCCUACAAGUCACACGGGUGUACAUUUGGAAUUUUUUUGUUUCGUUUUGUACCAAAACAAUUUUUGCACUGUGUUAUCUGGAGUGGGAAGAUGAGUGGACCUUGCAUUUUAAUAUAGAUUUCAUCCAUUUAAUCACAGCAGAAGCAUACAUAGAGAUUCUCUGUUAUUCUUCUUUUUCUGUGUAUUUGCUUAGUGUUUUAUGCCUUAGAAAUCUGUUUUCCUUCUUUUUGAUGGUUUGAGAGUUUCGAUAGAGACAACAAAAGUGCUUAAAAGUAUUAAUGUCCUUGGGAAGGCUACAAAAGUUAUGCAGUGGUGAAGAGAUGCAGGCAACCUGUAGAAGAGCCAGAUUUUGACAGCAUGGGAAGUGGUUAGCGCCUCAUUGGACAUCCUCACAUCAAAGCUGGACAGUGGGCUCUUGAGAUACUCUGUUUGAACCACAAAUUGCUGGGCUUUGGGCAGAAAUCACUGUGUGAAAUUCUGUGGUCUUUAUUAGGCAGGCGGACAGACAAAAUAAUUUUGCUGGUUUCUCUCGGCUCUUAGAAUUUAUGAAUCACAUAGUCAGGGUGUUCUGGGGGGGUUUGAGUUUCCAUGAAAAGUUUGCUGUGGCAGCACGCAGACAACAAAACCCAUCUGUUCUCUUGUCCUUUCAUCAUGCUGUGUUGCUUUCGGAUUGUUCCAGAAGGAGGAUGAAAUUUGGCUUGUUAUUUAAAUUUCAGUAUGGGUGGCCAAAGCAACUCUACCUUGGUUAUUAUGGGCCUCCUGUGACCACAGGAAUGGAUGGUGCCUUAUGCCAGCCCUGAUUUAACAAACACCUGAGGACCGACUCAGCACUGCAGCAUAGCCCAUGGGAAUUGUGUGCCAUGGGAUCCUGCAGCAAGGCAGUGUCUGGGAAUAUCUCCACACUCUUUAGUAGUAAGGAUGUAAUCAGCCCUUGUAGGCUGGUAUCUGAUUAAAUAGCACAGUGUGGAAAAAAAAUCAAACCCACACUCAUUUAUGGCAGUUGGACAUGUGUAGUUUGGAGGAAAGAAUUGAGGUUCUGUCUGAAGUUGUGUGAGCCCAUCUGGGGAGCAGUGUCAGGGAGGAGUCCGUGGGAUCCUCGUGUGUGAUCAUGUGAGAGCGAGCUCGUGAUGGAGCUGUGAGACAGAAAGGAACCUUGCACCUCUGGAGAGCCAGCAGGAGCAGGGAUGUAACUCCUGACUUUGACUUUUUAAAGGGUGACAUGUUGCCUGGUGUCUGUACUUGAAGAAGGGAGGGGAAGUGCCAGGAAGAAUUCAUGGAAAGGCACUGAUGAUUUGGGUUUGCUUUGACUCUAGGUGUGAGGAGUGCAAUUUGGUUAAUUGGGAUGAAGGCUGGCAAGGGGGUGACUUGACUGCCACAUCUGGAGGAAGAAAGUUUUGAUCAGCAGGUUUGGGUUAAGGAGGAACCCUUAGAAUUUCUAUGUCCUUUUCCAGAUUUUAGAGGAAAUGUUUCCCUAGCAUUGCAGGUUUAAUUUAAAAUAUUGGGAUUAUUAUGUGGAAUUCUUGGGUGAAAGGGACUGAUAAGCAGUGUAGUGAAGGCAGGAUGGAUUAUUUGGAUCUUUCUGCAUUUACACUCAGUACUCUGUUACUCCCCAGCACCUUCUUCCCUCAAAGAAGGGAAGCACCUUCUUCUACCCCUCCCUGGGGUAGGGAAGUUCUGCCACAGCACUGGGAAUAGUGUAAACUGUCAGGACACAGCACUUUGGAGCCAUCUCAUCUCAAGACAGGUGUCUAAGAUAUCUGCCUUUCCCUCUGGUAAUGGCUGUUGUCCUGCAGCAGCUGUGUGGGAGGCCAGAAAUCUGACUGAGAUGUGAACUCCUGUGCUUUGGAUGUCUGAAGCUGUGUGAGGGGAACGCCCCUCUCACUGCCUGUGUACAUGAUGAGGAGUUAGUGGAAUAAAGAACUUAACAAAGAACCAUCUGACACCACCUGAGAUGAAAAUAAUAUGGAAAAUUUAAUCAGCUCUCUGCAGCUGAGCAGUCCCUGGAGGUCCUGAACCAAACCUGACCCACUUGCUGAAGCCCAGCAGUGCAGCACUGGGCACUCCUCUGCCUGCCUUCAGAAGAAUGAAGGGACGGCAGUAUGAAAAGAGACACGUACAAGGGACAGCAACCAGUGGCAAGUCUUUACUAAGAAAGACUGGGGUAUUUUGUUUGUUAUUAAAAGCAAACCCACCUUCUGCAGCAUUUCUCUUUGUGAGGUGCUCAGAAAGGAGGGAGGUGUUUGUAGAGGUUUGUUUCCAACCUGAUUGAAUGUUUUCCCAGUUCUUUCCCUGCACUCCAGCUCAUCCCAUUCCAGUCUUUCCAGAUAUGCCAUGUUGGGAAGCAGCUGUGAGCUCAGACUCAGGGCUGAGUUCUAACAUGGUAACUGUGCUGGGGUCAACUGCUUUGCAGGGAUGGAGGGAGGGCUCUUGCCACUGGCAAGGAACAGCAUGACUCUUUUGCCAGUUGUGCCAGUUUGCUGUCAUGAUGGCUUAUCAGGAGCCUAGCCUCCCAUCUCUAAGCUCCCCAGAGAUGUUACCACUUGGCCAUGGUUUCAGAUUUGGACAUCUGAGUGGAUAAACUGCAGUGGGUAAAAAUCAAAUCCAAGACUUCUGGGCUUUGAGAGGAUGAUAGCAGUGGACUAUUGGUAGCAAACUGUAACCCACAUCCCCUUUCCAGGUAGAUGUUGCUGAGAUGAUUCCCCUGUGCUCCUCAGAAGGGCUGCUGAGCUGCCAGAUGAGCACCAAGCCUGUGUAUACCCAUCCUGCUGGCUGCAGCCCUUGCUGCGCCCUGGGAGGAUGCAAGGCUCCGGCUCUUGGAAUGGCUGUCCAGAACAGUGAGGGAAAAUGCCUCCUCCCUGGACACAAACCACAAUUAUUUGCUGG